ensembl:lncRNA
AUGAAGCUUUUAUCCGAAGUGAUUUACAGUGCUCUUAUUACAGGGGCCUACAAUCCCCCGAUCAACCUGGAGAAUAGAGCCUUGCUCGAGGAGACACUGGUGGUUUUGAACCAGCAGCCUUCUGCUCACCAGUUCAGUGGUUUAGCCCACUACAAAGUAGUCAUGCUCAUGGAGAGCAGGCACACGAAUGCUUGGAGCAGACACAGCAGCAGCCAGAUUGUCCCGCACGUGUUCCCUGCUCUUGAUUCAAGGUUGUGUGCUUCAGAGAGCCGUCGUCAUAGUCUUCCUCAUCCUCUUGCUCAACGAUGUCCCCAUUGAGAAGAGAGAGAUUGUGAAGCACAGCGCAGCUGCAGAAUUGGCACAGCAGUGUUGAGAUGGCAGUAGGUUAUGGGUUCACCAUCUGUAAAUACAUGACUGUUAGAACAAUAAGUCUGAAUGAAGCUUCGUUUCAUCUGUUGUUGACUUGUAUAUUUAUGUAUUUAUUGUGAUGCUUUUAUUCAUUCCUUUACUCAUUUAUUCAUGUUUCUUAUUGUUGUCAGUUAAUAAAAUAUUAAUAUUUUAUUAAUUAAUGUAUUAA